rnacentral:rRNA from 1 species
UGGGGAAUUUUGGACAAUGGGCGAAAGCCUGAUCCAGCAAUGCCGCGUGUGUGAAGAAGGCCUUCGGGUUGUAAAGCACUUUUGUCCGGAAAGAAAUCCUUGGCUCUAAUACAGUCGGGGGAUGACGGUACCGGAAGAAUAAGCACCGGCUAACUACGUGCCAGCAGCCGCGGUAAUACGUAGGGUGCAAGCGUUAAUCGGAAUUACUGGGCGUAAAGCGUGCGCAGGCGGUUUGCUAAGACCGAUGUGAAAUCCCCGGGCUCAACCUGGGAACUGCAUUGGUGACUGGCAGGCUAGAGUAUGGCAGAGGGGGGUAGAAUUCCACGUGUAGCAGUGAAAUGCGUAGAGAUGUGGAGGAAUACCGAUGGCGAAGGCAGCCCCUGGGCCAAUACUGACGCUCAUGCACGAAAGCGUGGGGAGCAAACAGGAUUAGAUACCCUGGUAGUCCACGCCCUAAACGAUGUCAACUAGUUGUUGGGGAUUCAUUCCUUAGUAACGUAGCUAACGCGUGAAGUUGACCGCCUGGGGAGUACGGUCGCAAGAUUAAAACUUAAAGGAAUUGACGGGGUCAUAGCUGUUUCCU